rnacentral:lncRNA from 1 species
UCAAGAUUCUGAGAUUUGUGGUUAUUAAAAUAUGAAGUACUCAAACACUGUCAAAUUUAAACUUUCAGGAAGGUAUGCCUAAGAACACAGCCCAAGAGAAGCUUGAGAUGAAGUGUUCUCUCAGCUCUGUGUCCUGUUUUUUUCAAGAGCAAGAAGAAAUAGUCCAUGAAAGAACACUGAGGUUACAGCUGUAACAUGGAGAAGCUUAUAUGGUGAUCAGAACCCUGAAGUAGAAGAUUUAAUGAAUUGAAGAUUUUUACGAAACUCUUUUCCUCUAGAAGGACAAUUUUUAUUAAAAACCCUAUUCUAGCUCUCCCAACAGGUAAGUAGCGUAAC